rnacentral:lncRNA from 1 species
GGUCAAGCGCGAGAGUAAAAACUAUUCAAGGAGUCACAAUACCUUAGCAAAACUUUGCUAUCAGGUGGGCAAUUUCUUACGCGUAAAUAAAAUGCUAUGCAAGUGUUAUGCUUUAAAAUGCAAAUUGGAUCUUCAAGUGUGGUAUGCUUUAUUACGUUUAAAUGAGUUAAGCUUUAUUAUGCUGUACGUUAAAUGAUUUAUGCUAUGCUGUUUAUACUAUUUACGCCCUAUGUAAUUUACGUUUGAUUACGCUUAUUUACGCUUGAAUGCUUUACGCUGAUAAGUUUAUGCUUAUGUUUGAUGCUUGCGUCUGUUGGGGGAGGCCUCCCUCAACAGUACGAUGCCGUGUCCGUUGAGGAGGGCCUUCCUCACGGCGCGAUGCCCGUGUCCGCUGAGGGAGGCCUCCCUAGCGGCGCGAUGCCAGUAUGCCAGUAUGCCAGUGUUACAGCGUCUAUUGGGGGAGGCCUCCCUCAAUAGUACGAUGCCGUGACCGCUGAGGGAGGCCCCCUUCACGGCGCGAUGCCCCUGUUCGUUGGGGAAGGCCUUCUCCACGACACGAUGCGUGUUUAUUUGUUAAUGAUGAAGAAUGCGCUCAUGCUGUUUAUGAAUUUGGAAAUAUUUAAUGAGCAAAAGAUUUGAAAGAAACUUAUGCCUCUUAUGCGAUGUUAUGUUAUAUGCUUGGCAACUGCCCACUAAGUACUCUUGUACUUAGCCCUUUGUUGUUUAUGUUGGUGCAGGUUGAGCUGUGAUGGGCGAUGAAGUGUUGUUGUGAGGGAGUUUUUGUCGAACUUAAAGUAGGCUCAGAAAGGAUACAUGUCUUCAUACAUGUAUCUCAGUUAUGCAUUCCGCUGUAAACACUGAUUAUUUCAGUUACGCCUUCCGUUGCAAACUCUGAUAAUGUUUUAUGCCAAGCC